CUUCUCUCAGGGUCUCACCUGGAGAGUUUCCAAUCCUCUACCAGUCUCGACUUCGGGAGGGAGAGUGAAGCAGAGGUCUACGCAUUCCAUUCCUAGCUUGGCCAGUGGCUAGCAAGUGGAAAGCAAUCUGCUACAGGU